rnacentral:rRNA from 1 species
GGCUCAGGAUGAACGCUAGCGACAGGCCUAACACAUGCAAGGUCAGGGGCAGCACAAGGAGCAAUCUGAGGUGGCGACCGGCGCACGGGUGAGUAACACGUAUGCAACCUGCCUGUAAGCGGGGAAUAACCCGUUGAAAGACGGACUAAUACCGCAUAAUACUAAAUUACUGCAUGGUAAUUUAUUUAAACAUUUAUGGCUUACAGAUGGGCAUGCGCAUGAUUAGCUAGUUGGAGAGGUAACGGCUCCCCAAGGCAACGAUCAUUAGGGGUUCUGAGAGGAAGGUCCCCCCACACUGGUACUGAGACACGGACCAGACUCCUACGGGAGGCAGCAGUGAGGAAUAUUGGUCAAUGGACGAGAGUCUGAACCAGCCAAGUCGCGUGCAGGAAGAAUGUCCUAUGGAUUGUAAACUGCUUUUGCAGGGGAAUAAAGUGCAUCACGUGUGAUGUUUUGUAUGUACUCUGCGAAUAAGGAUCGGCUAACUCCGUGCCAGCCGCCGC